AUACUUACCUGGCAGGGGAGAUACCAUGAUCAUGAAGGUGGUUUUCCCAAGGCGAGGCAUACCUAUUGCACUCCAGAUGUGCUGACCCCUGCAAUUUCCUCAAAUUCAGGAAACUAGCCUGCAUAAUUUGUGGUAGUGGGACUGCGCUCAUGCUCUCCUCU